GAUUUUUUGUGUCAUCUUGAUGUGAUGUUUAUUUUUCCUUUAAAAAUAUUAAUAAACGCAUUCGAGGCUGACUGUUGGAGAUCUGCGCAAGUGCGCAUGCGCAGCGGCGUCAUUUUUAACCAAACAAGAGGACAGGGAAAAACUUAUGGGAGCAAGAGAUAACGUAAACACUUACUAAAUCGACAUUUAUUUCUCAAUUAUGGCCGUGUAACGUAAAGUGUCACUAGUUAACAGUUUUGUAUUUUUGUAAGUAAUUUUAAAAAUAAAUGUUCUGUUGCACAAAACUCCCUGAAGCAGUUUGAGUACCAUACCAUUUAUACAACCAUUUAUCCAAACCAAGUGAUACAGGAUCAAGCGAUUGGCCAUCACGAAAGUUUGCUUUAUGGCGACUGGCCUCUCUGUUGUCCUGGAUGUGAUGAAAUGCUGGGACUUCCUUUGUCUUUAUUGAAUUUUUUGUGAGCAGUAUCCAGCCGUACGGGCAGCACUAAGAGUCAGGUAUACGCACACGGACCCUUACUAGUACCUGAUUGGACCCCCUUUUGCCUUCCGGACUGCCUGAAUCCUU